rnacentral:rRNA from 1 species
AGAGUUUGAUCAUGGCUCAGGACGAACGCUGGCGGCGUGCUUAACACAUGCAAGUCUACGAGAAAGAGGUAGCAAUACCUUGAGUAAAGUGGCGCACGGGUGAGUAAUAUGUAAGUAAUCUGCCCAUAGAUUUGGAAUAACGCAGAGAAAUUUGCGCUAAUACCGAAUGAUGCAGCGGCACCGCAUGGUGAUGUUGUUAAAGUCUAUAUGGCGGCUAUGGAUGAGCUUGCAUCUGAUUAGCUAGUUGGUGGGGUAAUGGCCCACCAAGGCAACGAUCAGUAGCUGGUCUGAGAGGAUGAUCAGCCACACUGGAACUGAGACACGGUCCAGACUCCUACGGGAGGCAGCAGUGAGGAAUAUUGGGCAAUGCCCGCAAGGGUGACCCAGCAACGCCGCGUGGAGGAUGAAUGCCGUAAGGUUGUAAACUCCUGUGAGAAGGGAAGAAAGUGCGGAAUCGACUUCCGCUUUGACUGUACCUUCAGAGGAAACCCCGGCUAACUACGGGCCAGCAGCCGCGGUAAUACGUAGGGGGUUAGCGUUGUCCGGAUUUACUGGGUGUAAAGGGCGCGUAGGCGGGUUUGUAAGUCAGAGGUGAAAUCCUGCAGCUUAACUGCAGAGCUGCCUUUGAUACUGCAAAUCUUGAGUUCAGAAGAGAGAGAUGGAAUUCCAGGUGUAGUGGUGAAAUACGUAGAUAUCUGGAAGAACACCAGUGGCGAAAGCGGUCUCUUGGUCUGUAACUGACGCUGAGGCGCGAAAGCGUGGGUAGCAAACAGGAUUAGAUACCCUGGCAGUCCACGCUGUAAACGAUGAAUACUAGAUGUUGGGGGCCUACGGGCUCAGUGUCGCAGCUAACGCAUUAAGUAUUCCACCUGGGGAGUACGAUCGCAAGGUUGAACACUUAAAUGAAUUGACGG